rnacentral:rRNA from 1 species
UACGGGGGGGGCAAGCGUUGUUCGGAAUUACUGGGCGUAAAGGGCGCGUAGGCGGCCUUCUAAGUCGGACGUGAAAUCCCUCGGCUUAACCGAGGAACUGCGUCCGAGACUGAAAGGCUUGAAUCCGGGAGAGGGAUGUGGAAUUCCAGGUGUAGCGGUGAAAUGCGUAGAUAUCUGGAGGAACACCGGUGGCGAAGGCGGCAUCCUGGACCGGCAUUGACGCUGAGGCGCGAAAGCUAGGGGAGCAAACGGG